rnacentral:lncRNA from 1 species
UGGGGUGAUAAAUCAGAUUUUAAGUUGUUAUAGGUUUUAUUUUUUUAGAAGUUUUUUAAAGCGUGAAACGGCACCAUUUGAGCCUCAUUACAAUGGCUUCAAAACGGUGCCGUAUCGUUCGACACCCGAUGACCCGAUCCAAAUGCAGUGUGACCCGCGUGUUUUGGUAGGUAAAGGGUUAUUUGCAACCAUGACCCUCCACCUUGUAACAGUAUUUCAAUUU